rnacentral:rRNA from 1 species
AUUGAACGCUGGCGGCAAGUCUAACACAUGCAAGUCGAACGCGUGGCGGACGGGUGUAUAAUGUCUGGGAAACUGCCUGAUGGAGGGGGAAAACUACUGGAAACGGUAGCUAAUACCGCAUACCAUCGGAUGUGCCCAUAUGGGUUGAGCGAGUAGGUGGGGUAAAGGCUCACCGAGGCAACGAUCCCUAGCUGGUCUGAGAGGAUGAACAGCCACACGGGAACUGAGACACGGUCCAGAAUCCUACGGGAGGCAGCAGUGGGGAAGAUUGCACAAUGGGCGCAAGCCUGAUGCAGCCAUGCCGCGUGUAUGAAGAAGGCCUUAGGGUUGUAAAGUACUUUCAGCGGGGAGGCGUUACCCGCAGAAGAAGCACCGGCUAACUCCGUGCCAGCAGCCGCGGUAAUUC